GGAGGGGUCUUCUACAUUCCCAUCCAUCCACCAGAGAGAGCAAGGGAGAUCUGGUCAGCCUACCCCAGUCUCUGCCUGGCUGAAGGUCCAAAGCAGGUAGUGUUCAAAGAGUGUAUCCUGCCACAACUGGCACAGAUGUGUGAAGACCCCUUUCCAGGCCUUUGUUCCCUCUUUCCUGGAUCCUCUGAGCCUACGGGCCUGCCUGUGGCUCCUGGGAGAUGCUGCCAUUCUUUGCUACCAGACAAGCCUGGUGCAGAGCCACAGUGACACCUAGUGGUGAAGUGUGGUGAAACAAGGUGACAUCCACAAAAAAACCCCACUGCGACUAAAAUCUAAGGAAAAUACUUAUGGAUAUUAAAUUAGAUAUGGAUUCAUUUUUCUAUUGGGUACAUCUCGGGGAUAUAAAAAUACCAAUAUUUAGAGAUGGGGUUUCAUAAACUACUGUACAAUAUAAGGACCGAGAAUACCUUUCUCUAAGCUGUUCUGUUUACAGUAACUUAGGAAAAGUGUUUAAUAAUCCAGGCUUAACUAAAUUAGCAAACUCAUAUCUCUGGACAACGACCUUGGGUACUGUACAUGAUUCUAAUUCGUGGAGUUUUCCUGAGCCUUCAAGUUAAACACGUCUAGAAAGAAGGGCACGUGGGAGAGGGAUGGGAAGGGUUUGUGCUCUAUUAACUUGGGACUUUUAAUAGCGCACGUCUGCAACCCGGAGAAGAUACAAGAGCAGAUACAAAAUGGUCUCCAUUUUGUCCAUGCCAAAUUCUCAUGUUACACAGGGUUUUCCCUUUACUUUGUAAAUAAACAUUAAUUUUUAAUUGUUAAUUGUGUGCCUUACUGAUCCAGUAAAUAAAGUAACCAUGUCUCAGGAGUCCCUAAGAAAAUUGCUGGAAAAGCACUUUAAAAUCACUGCAAAUUUUUUUUUGUCUUUAAAAAGUCUUAAUCUUUUUGAUGCUUAUAUACAAGUUAUUUUUUGUGCUAUAAAUGUUGUGAUCCACUGCUUGCUUGCUUUUUUUAAAUCCCUUUGAAAAACACACUAAAAGACAAGGGCGCUUUUGCCAUUUUCUAAUGAAGACGUUACUCACACUUAAAUAUCCAGUUAUUUAUCAGAGUUACAAAUUCAAACAAUAAAGUGCACCCAUUAUAGACACGAUGUGAUGGAAACCCAUUAGUGCAAGAAUUCUGGGUGAGUGGAAGGUACGAUUUGAUGAGAGACCUGUAAGCUGAAGUUUGUCACCGCUGUCUCCGUCUCAGGGGUGACGUAAAGUGGGUGAGUGGAACUUACCAGGUUGAUCUGAAAAACUUCCCCCCAGCUGAAGCCAGACACUGAUGCCAGCAAGUGAGGGGGCAUCUCUAAGAUACAGUACUAAGACCAUCCCAUGGCAGUGAAGUAGCAAAACAGGGCACAGGCAGUCUGCUGACAAAGAAGAGCUGUCUUCCUCCAGUAAGGUCCAGCUGGCAUUUUUUAGUCAAAAACUGGCGCCCAGUAGUGGCAUUCACACCCUCUUAAAAUGGCCACAGAAAGACUGUAUUUUGACUGUUGACAGUUUAGGUGUUUUGUCCAAUAAGGCAAGGACCCUAAACCUGUCUGCCCUAGAAAACCCUAAGAGUCAUGCUCGGGACAAGUGGUGUCGGUGGCAUAUUCAUGAAACUACAGAACCUGCUCACCCACUCAGGCGAG
rnacentral:lncRNA from 1 species